CCUACGGGUGGCUGCAGUGGGGAAUAUUGCACAAUGGGGGAAACCCUGAUGCAGCGACGCCGCGUGAGUGAAGAAGUAAUUCGUUACGUAAAGCUCUAUCAGCAGGGAAGCAAUACUGACCUUACGGUCAGCAGACGGUAUCUGAGUAAGAAGCGCCGGCUAACUACGUGCCAGCAGCCGCGGUAAUACGGAGGGGGCAAGCGUUAUCCGGAUUUACUGGGGGUAAAGGGAGCGUAGACGGUGCGCCAAGUCUGGAGUGAAAUGCCGCGGCUUAACUGCGGAACUGCUUUGGAAACUGGCGAGCUAGAGUGCGGGAGGAGUAAGCGGAAUGCCUGGUGUAGCGGUGAAAUGCAUAGAUAUUAGGAAGAACACCGAUGGCGAAGGCAGCAUACUGGACCGUAACUGACGUUGAGGCACGAAAGCGUGGGGAGCGAACAGGAUUAGAUACCCUAGUAGUC
rnacentral:rRNA from 1 species